rnacentral:rRNA from 1 species
CCUACGGGGGGCAGCAGUGGGGGAUAUUGCACAAUGGGGGGAACCCUGAUGCAGCGACGCCGCGUGGGUGAAGGAGUAUUUCGGUAUGUAAAGCCCUAUCGGCAGGGAAGAAUUUAGACGGUACCUGACUAAGAAGCCCCGGCUAACUACGUGCCAGCAGCCGCGGUAAUACGUAGGGGGCAAGCGUUAUCCGGAUUCACUGGGUGUAAAGGGAGCGUAGACGGCCAGGCAAGCCUGGAGUGAAAGCCCGGGGCCCAACCCCGGGACUGCUCUGGGAACUGUCCGGCUGGAGUGCGGGAGGGGCAGGCGGAAGUCCUAGUGUAGCGGUGAAAUGCGUAGAUAUUAGGAGGAACACCAGUGGCGAAGGCGGCUUACUGGACUGUAACUGACGUUGAGGCUCGAAAGCGUGGGGAGCAAACAGGAUUAGAUACCCCUGUAGUC